GAUGAACGCUAGCGGCAGGCUUAACACAUGCAAGUCGAGGGGCAGCGAGGGCGUAGCAAUACGCCUGUCGGCGACCGGCGCACUGGUGAGUAACACGUAUGCGACCUGCCCCCUACAGGGGUAUAACCCGUAGAAAUGCGGACUAGUCCCCCAUAGUCCUGGGUGCUGCAUGGCAUUCAGGGGAAAGGCCAGCCGGUAGGGGAUGGGCAUGCGGCGCAUUAGCUAGUUGGCGGGGCAACGGCCCACCAAGGCGACGAUGCGUAGGGGUUCUGAGAGGAAGGUCCCCCACACUGGUACUGAGACACGGACCAGACUCCUACGGGAGGCAGCAGUGAGGAAUAUUGGUCAAUGGGCGAGAGCCUGAACCAGCCAAAUAGCGUGCAGGACGACGGCCCUAUGGGUUGUAAACUGCUUUUAUAAGGGAAUAAAGUGAGUCUCGUGAGGCCUUUUGCAUGUACCUUAUGAAUAAGGACCGGCUAAUUCCGUGCCAGCAGCCGACGG
rnacentral:rRNA from 1 species